AAUUAACCCUAAUUAAAAAUUCAAAUAAAUUAUAUAAAUAAAAUAUGAGUAAUAUUAAUUUAGGGUGAAUUCAUUAGUUGAGAUAACACAAAUAUUGAG
rnacentral:snRNA from 1 species